ensembl:lncRNA
CAAGCCCCAGCCCAGACUCAUAGAACAGCAUGAGGUAGAACUGGCCCCAGCCCAGAUAAAACAGCAUGAGGUAGAACCAGCCCAGCCCAGCCCAGACUAACAGAACAGCAUGAGGGAGAACUGGCCCCAGCCCAGAUAAAACAGCAUGAGUUAGAACCAGCCCCAGCCCAGACUAACAGAACAGUAUGUGGUAGUACCAUCCCCAGCUCAAACUAACAGAACAGCAUGAGGUAGAACCAGCCCCAGCCAAGACUAAUAGUACACCAUGAGGUAAAACCGGCCCCAGCCCAGAAUAACAGAACAGCAUGAUGUAGAACAAGCCCCAGCCCAGACUCAUAGAACAGCAUGAGGUAGAACUGGCCCCAGCCCAGAUAAAACAGCAUGAGGUAAAACCAGCCCAGACUAACAGAACAGCAUGAGGUAGAACCAGCCCAGCCCAGCCCAGACUAACAGAACAGC